rnacentral:rRNA from 1 species
UACGUAGGGGCCUAGCGUUGUCCGGAAUUAUUGGGCGUAAAGAGCUCGUAGGCGGUCUGUUGCGUCGGCUGUGAAAACCCGGGGCUCAACCCCGGGCCUGCAGCCGAUACGGGCAGACUAGAGUUCGGCAGGGGAGACUGGAAUUCCUGGUGUAGCGGUGAAAUGCGCAGAUAUCAGGAGGAACACCGGUGGCGAAGGCGGGUCUCUGGGCCGAUACUGACGCUGAGGAGCGAAAGCGUGGGGAGCGAACAGG